GUCAGUUGGAAAAGAUACAAAUAAUUAGGUGUGUCUAGCUUUGGCUCCAGAUGUCAGAUCUUAGAUGUAAGAUGUGAGUCCAUUCUCAGAGAGUGUCUCUCUUUCCUUUGUCCCUAAUUUUCAAAGGAGAAGUUCUCUAUUCGUCACUAGUUGAUAGUGACCAAUAGAGUAAGAUGGGUGUUUCUUCCCUACAAACUAUCAUCUAGAAUUUGGUCAGUAG